rnacentral:rRNA from 1 species
UACGUAGGGGGCAAGCGUUGUCCGGAAUCACUGGGCGUAAAGCGCGCGCAGGCGGUCAUCUACGUCUGGGGUGAAAGCCCGGAGCUCAACUCCGGGAUUGCCUUGGAUACGGGAUGACUUGAGGAUCGGAGAGGCAAGGGGAAUUCCACGUGUAGCGGUGAAAUGCGUAGAGAUCAGGAAGAACACCCGUGGCGCAAGCGGCCACCUGGCCAAGAGCUGACGCUGAGGCACGAGAGCGUGGGGAGCGAACCGG